UUCACCAACCUUCUCAACAUUUGUGAGUUACUCAUAAUAGUCCUAAACUAAUUCCAAACCACAUCAAACUAACUCCAAACCUCUUCAAACUAAUUCCAAACCAUUUUAACUAAUUCCAAACCUCAUUUAACCAAUUCCAGGCCUUACAAAACUAACUCCAAACCUCCAUUUGAUCCAAACGUAUAACCUAUAUAAUCGCAUCACUCUCAUUACACCAGAAUUUACUCAAAAGUUGAUUAUUCUCUCAAAUUAC
rnacentral:lncRNA from 1 species